rnacentral:rRNA from 1 species
UACAUGGGGUGCAAACGUUGCUCGGAAUUAUUGGGCGUAAAGCGUGCGCAGGCGGCCGAGCAAGUCGAGUGUGAAAGCCCCGGGCUUAACUUGGGAAUUGCGCUCGAAACUACUUGGCUGGAGUGUGGCAGAGGAAGGUGGAAUUCCAGGUGUAGCGGUGAAAUGCGUAGAGAUCUGGAGGAACACCGAUGGCGAAGGCAGCCUUCUGGGCCAACACUGACGCUCAUGCACGAAAGCGUGGGGAGCAAACAGG